GGCAGGUCAGGGGUGUCAAGGUGCCCCAACCCAGUAUGUGCAGAUGGGAUGGUGGGAUCUAGGUAGACCCAUGAUGAGAACAGAGGGGACAACAUGGAGUCUUGUUGGAAAGGCAGACUUUGUGAUAGCUCUUGCUUGAUUUUAUAUCUUGGUGGACCAUCAGAUUCUGAUUUUAAUGCAAAUACAUUCCAUUCCUUUAAAUAUAUACACUCUCUUCCAUAUGUAUUAUAAAUAAAAAAGAACUUAUUUAGAAUAGCUCUGGGCUCACUCAUGUUUUUGUAUAUUACUGUAUCCUUUUGGAGCUGUUCUCCAAACUCUAGAGGCACCAUUCAGACAGAAGAAAUCAAUUUCAGACACGAUGGGAUAACAGUUUUCAACUCACUGGGCUGCAAGUUUGCAGGUCUCUGGAAAAAUUGUAGAGAAAUUAUCAGUCCUUCACCUGACUUUAAAGGACCCUUCAGUUUGUAGAAGGGGCUCAGAAAAAGAGCUGAUGCAGGUCUUGGCACUGUGCCAGUCAUAGAUGAAGUGACUCAAAUGUGAUGGGACCACCUUAUAGAGAGCCACACCAGGGUGCCAUAGCACACUGAUUGAGAACCAUGCCGCUGCUUCUGCUGGGAUGCCCUCCAAAUUAUUGGGUGCAGACAUCAGAAUUGUGCCUGUAUCCUCCUGGUGGUAUGUGCUCCUCAGAGGCCUGAUCUACAUAUGUUCACCUCCUAGGUAGGACAAAAACAACCUAAGAGGCCAGGAAGUUUAUUCCUAUGAAAUGUUGCUUCUCCAAAGGCCAUCUCAACUCGAUUACACAUUUUCCAAAUAAAAUCUCUUAUAUAAAAGCUUUUCUUGGGGUUUAUCUUUCUCGAAAGUGAUAUAACUUCAGAUAGAAGCUGAUUUGACCAACCAAAUGACUUUGACUCAGUCUUCUGGUUGAUCAUUAUCAUGUAAGAAAACUCAGGUAAUUCCAGAUAAACCAAUGUUUUUUUAAAAAUUGUUUAGUCGUUUAUUUAUUUAUUUAUUUUUAUUUUACUUUAAGUUCUGGGAUACAUGUGCAGAACGUGCAGGUUU
rnacentral:lncRNA from 1 species